rnacentral:ncRNA from 1 species
AAAUUAUUUUAUUUUGGUUAAUAUUUUUAUUAUUAUUUUAUUUUACAUGUAAAUUUUUGUGAGUAUUAAUUUAAUUUUUAAAAAAUUAUUUUAUUUAUUUAUUCGCAGUGAUUAAUAUUAAUUUAAAAAAGAAAUUUUGUAUUAGUAAUAAUAUAUAGUAUUGGUAAAAUUUGUGCCAGCUACCGCGGUUAUACAAAUAAUACAAAUAAAAAUUUUUAGUAUUAGUUAAAUUGUAUUAAUUUUAAUAUAAAUAUAAAUUUAUUAGGUGAAAUUUUUAAAUUUAUUUAUUAUUAAUUUUGGAUUAAUUUAAGCUAUAAACUUUUUGUAAUAAACUAGGAUUAGAUACCCUAUUAUUAAAAAUAAAUAUAAAUAUACUAAAGUAGUAUUAGUUAUAUUCUUAAAAUUUAAAAAAUUUGGCGGUAUUUUAGUCUGUUCAGAGGAAUCUGUCCUGUAAUUGAUAGUCCACAUUGAACCUUACUUAAAUUUGUUGAAUUUGUAUAUCGUCGUCAUCAGAAUGUGUUAUAAGAUAAAAUUUUCUAAAUAUUUAAUAAAAUAAUAUGUCAGGUCAAGGUGCAGUUUAUGUUUAAGUAGAGAUGGAUUACAAUAAAUUUAUUUAAUAUGGAUAAUUUUUUGAAAUAAAAAUUUGAAAGUGGAUUUGAAAGUAAUAUAAAAUAGAUUAUUUAUAUGAUUUUAGCUCUAAAAUAUGCACAUAUCGCCCAUCGUUCUUAUUUUUAAAAUAAGAUAAGUUGUAACAUAGUAGAUGUACUGGAAAGUGUAUCUAGAAAGAC